UUUAGCCCAAAUGCUUACUGCCUGGCGUAAAUUCACCAGUUUCCCACGUAUGAUUUUUGCAGAAUGGAUUCAAUCUCACUCUUAAUAGCCUCUUUCCACAAGGACCUACAGGACAACUCACUGCUUCCUUGUAUGUUUUUGAGGCUCACUUUCUAACUAUAGUUAAGAAGUCUGGACAAAGAUGUUGAUGUUCUAGCUUUUUGCUACGUCUCAUUCAUUUCAAAUUCAUCUUUUUUGAUUUUGUUGCUGUCAUUAGCAGGAUGCGAGUCCGUUUCACUGAACUUACUCACCAAUGGAUUCUAUAUGGAAAUAGUGUUCAAAGAACACGCAUUCCAGACUCCAUGUAGGUAUGCUGUGAAUAUGCAUCACCGUUUGGUGGAUACUGUGGAUAACACGGAAUUAUCUAUAACCGAUAAUUAAUGCCCGGGAAGGGUCCCGGGUCGUCACAAAUGAUCAGAGCUUAUGCUUUUAGGUCUUACAUGGGACUAGUGUGGGAGUUUAGGGCGAUAAUCUUUAGGAAAAAAAAUGGUAUCAGAGUGCGCAGUGGAAGCGUGUAUUUUGAUAGUGACACAAAAUCAGACUUUUCAAAUUCGAGGACAAAAUUCUUUAAGAGGGAGAGACUGUAUAACCUGAAUUUUUUAUGUUUUGGGUUCUCAUUGAAAGAUUUAUAACUUUUGGGAUAAAAUUAAAGAAUUUAUUUAGUUUAAAUAUAUAAUAUAAUUAUGUAAAAGAUGAAGGGUAAGUGCAAUUUUUAGUUAUGGAGUGUGACUUUCGUGGAAAGCCACAAUAACGAAAAAAAAAGAAAAGAAAUGCAUAAGGGAGGACAAAAGAAAGAAAAGAAAGAAAAAAAUAAUAAGAAAAUAUCUUUAAUAUAUUUAUAUAGAUAUAAUUAAUCUAUCAAGAGAGAAGGGGUGAGACUGAGAGAGAGAAUGCACGGAGGGAAGAAAGAAAGGAAAGAAAGAGAGAGAGAUCACGGAUAUGUAAAAGAAACGAAUAAUGAGAAAUUAUAUAGUGUGGUUGUCUUUGACUAAUGAAAGAAAUGGGGUGUUUGUAAGAUCAACGGUGAGAUGAAUGUCGGAUCAAGGUGAAUUUUAGUAUGAUGAUCAUGGGAGCCAGGAGAAGAUCUACAUAAUCUAAUGAUCAAUUUGAGGUAAACAUGAUGUAAACAAUUAUGCUUUCUAAACUCCGGAGUUAUUUUCUAAAAAUAUCUUGAUUUUGUAUUCCUCUUGAGCCAUGUGGCUAUCUGUUGAAAUCCUGGUAUUAUGGUGGCUCGUGAUAUGUAUGAUGUUAUUGAUUGAUGGCUAAAUGCUAUGGGAUGGAAAGAUACAUGUACUGAGUGGAUCCGCCAACAAGUUCCAUAUGGACUGGGGAAAGGAAAAGCCGAGAGCGAGGAGACGUGGAUGAGGCCGACACUAGUAAUGUAAUCAGAAAAAAGACCUGGUAUGAGGUCUUGAUGAAAUAGGAAUUCGUUGUGUACUCUGACUAUUUGUUUAGUGAGCAAUAUUGAUCGUUGAGCAUAUUCCCGUCGUAUUGUAUGACUUCCCUGUUUAAAAUGAUUUUUCAGGAGGACGUGGGAAGUUCGGAUAGUAUUUUUUUUCGGUAUGGGUCGAGUGAAAGAAUUGAAGAUUUUGAUCUUUUGUAUUAAUUACAUUUGGAGACAUUGUAAAAAUACAUAUUUGGAGACUAUUGCAUAUUUGAAGAAAAUAGGUCUGAUUGUAUUGAGGAAGAAUAGUGAGAAUUUAGGUAAUUAAUUAACGGCCCGGGAGGUCGGGUCGUCACAAAUGGUAUCAGAGAUUAGGCUUUAGGUCUUACAUGGGAGACUAGUGUGAGUUUAGGCGAUAAAUCUAGGAAAAAAAAAAAUGGUAGCAGAGUGCGCAGUGAAGAGUGUUUUUGCUAGUGACACAAAAUCAGAACUUUUCCAAAUUCGAGGACGAAAUUCUUUAAGAGGAGAGAAGGAGAGAACGACCCUACCCGAGGCACGUUGUAUUAAGGACCCUAAAUUCUCCGUAUUUUUCCUCAAAUACAAAUCAGAGCACUAUUUUCUUCAAAUAUGCAAUAGUCUCAAAAUAUGUAUUUUUACAAUGUCUCAAAUGUAUUAAUACAAAAAAGAUCGAAAAUCUUCAAGUCUUCACUAGAAACCAUCCUCGUACUAUCCGAACUUCCCACGUCCUCGAAAAAUCAUUGUAUAAACAGGGAGUAACAUACGACAGGAAUAUGACUCAUGAAUCAAUAAUGCUUCAAACAAACAAAUGUCAGAGUAUCACAACGGAAUCAAUAUUUCAGGCAAAAACCUCAUACUAGCGUUUUUCCGCAUACAUUACUAGUUUGUCGGCCUCAUCACGUCUCAGCUUUCGGCUUUUCCCGGUCCAUAGUGGAACUGUUGGGAUCACUCAGUACAUGUAUCAUUUCAAUUCAUAGCAUUAGCCAUUCAAACACAUUAACAUCCAUAAAAUCACGAUGACAACAAAACUACAUGGAUUUCAACAGAUAGCACACCAUGACUCAAGAGGAAUACAAAAUCAAGAUAUUUUAGAAAAUAACUCCGGAGUUAGAAAGCAUAUUGUUAUACACAUGUUUACCUCAAAUUGACCUCAUUAGAUAUGUAGAUCUGGCUCCAUGGAUCAUGCAUACUAAAAAAAUUUCACCUGAUCCGACAUAAUCUAACCUGGAUUCUAACAAUGUCUUUCAUUAUCAAAGACAACCACACUAUAUAAUUUCUAUUCUCUCGUUUCUUUCUACAUAUCAGUGAUCUCUCUCUCUUCUUUCUUUCCCUUUGUUCCCGCCUGGGCAUUCGCUCUCUCCGUCUCACCCCUUUUCUCUUAUAUAUUAAUCUAUAUCUAUAUAAAUAUAUAAAUAUAUUUUAUUAUUAUUUUUUUCUUCUUCUUUUCUUGUCCCCCAUUAUGCAUUUCUUUUUUUUUUUUUUCUUUCUUGGCUUUCCACCGAAAGUCACCACUCCACUAACUAAAAAUUGCACUUUACCCUUCAUCUUUUACAUUAUGAUAUUAUAUUAUUUAAACUUAAAUAAACUCUUUAAUUUUAGUCAAAAGUGAUAAAUCUUUCAAUUAUAACCCCAAACAUAACAAAAUUCAGGUUAUUACAUUCUCCCCCUCUUAAAGAUCGGUCCUCGCCCUUACAAAGUCUGAUUUGUGCACUAUCAAAUACACGCUUCCACUGCGGCAUCUGAUACCAUUUUUGUUUUCCUAAAGAUUUAUCGCCUAAACCUCCCACACUAGUCCCAUGUAGACCUAAAGCCUAAGCUCUGAUCCAUUUUGUGAUGACCCGACCUCCCGGCCGUGUAAUUUAAUUACCUAAAUUCUCAGUAGUUUCUCAAAAUACAAAUCAGAGCACUAUUUUCCUCAAUAUUCAUAGGUCUCCAAAUAUAAUUAAUACAAAAAGAUUAAAAAUCUUCAAGUCUUUCAACGACCCAUAUGUUACUAUCCGAACUCCCAGUCCUCCUGAAAAAAAAAUAUUUAAAACGGGAAGUAACAAUCCGACGGGAAUAUGCUCAACGAAUCAAUUAAAUGCUCAACAACCCAAUGUCAGAGUAUCACAACGAAUCAAUAUUCAUCAAAACUCAUACUAGAUUUCCUGAUACAUUAAUAGUGAUCGGCCUCUCCAGUCUCCUAGCUUCGGCUUUUUCAGGUCCAUAGUGGAACUGUGGCGGAUCCACUCAGUACAUGUAUCAUUCCAUCGCCUAGCAUUUAAGUCAUCAAACAAUAACAUCAUACAUAUCACGAUGCCAACAAAAUACCAUGGAUUUCAACAGAUAGCACCACCUGCUCAAGAGGAAUACAAAAUCAGAUAUUUUAGAAAAUAACUCCGGAGUUUAGAAAGCAUAUUGUAAGACUCCUGUUUACCUCAAAUUUACACAUGCACAGAAAUACCCGUAUCUUUUUGAACAAGGUACAACUUACUUAUGCUUUAUGAUUAUGAUAAUUUUAAUAUAGAAUGGUCGAGUCAUAUAUAUGAUGUAGUAACGAUAUAGAUACGAGUAGACAAUUUUUUGGAGGACCAAACUUCCUAGGUGGGGAGGAUUAAUACCCCGUACCGCAAAAAGGUAUUAAAUUAGUAAUCGAAUUAAGUUUUAUUUUUUUCGCAAUAACGUAGAAAUUAGGAGAAAACGGAACACAUAAUAACACGUUGUAGAACACACGAGGGACGUCAUGGGCGACGCCUUAUUGUGUGCAUGGAUGACGUUGUGUGAAUGCCAGCACCUCUGGCCAUUUCCAUCCCAACCAAACAUAAUGUUUUUGGAUGAUUAGUGUUUGUGGCAUAUUGCUGCUAUUGGUGAUGGUGAGUGUGAAGUGCAGUGUGACAUGUAAGUGAGAGAUAAUCAACCUAGGCCUAAUAGCCAACCCUAUAUUAUAAAGCUACCCUGCACUCUCCCCAUUUUUCAUUCCAAGUCACACAACAGAAACGAAACAAGAAAGGAAGGUAAGAAGAGACAGAAGGAAAGAAAGAAAGACUGAGGUCGUGUUUUUUUUUUUUGGUCAAGGAAAUUCAAACUUAAUCUUUAUUUAUUAUUUAAGCCUUAUUAUAGAACACCGUAUCUAGUUUAAUUGUAAAUCCUCUAAAUACUCAAAAAUAUUACCUGUUAUCUAUUUUUUCUAAUCAAAAGUCCGAAUUCGGAAUUCACUUUUUACUGGAAACAGCUACCGUAUUUUCGAUCAUAACUUUUUCAUACGGUGUCGCGCAUUACUUGAUUUAAGUUGAGUUGGAAGGUAUCAAAAGUAUCUAAAACGUUUAUUUAGACGUUUUGUAAAAUUCAGACUCUAGUAAUCAAAAUUGACUUUACAUGGCUUUUUGAAAACUGGAAAUAAAAUUGAUUCGACAGAGGCUUUGAGAAUUUUAUAAAAAUAGUUUCGUUUGUUAGAAAAUUCCUGAGAAUUUUAUAUCUAUAAAUUAUAUGUCGGUAAUUACAUUUGAAUUUCACGAAUUAAUGAUAAUGUAUUUCAUGCCCAAAAUAAUUUUAAACUAAACAGUGGUCCGUACCGAUCUUU
rnacentral:lncRNA from 1 species